rnacentral:lncRNA from 1 species
CCUUAUGGAAAUAAGUCUUGAGCUGAUCUACAAUAUUUGAUUAUCUUUUGUACAUUUCUCUUCUUAUUUUCUGUUGUGGUAUCUAUAUCAUCAUUGGUAUUGUGAUCUUAAGUGGGGAUCCAUAUUCCGCACUCGUGAGGGAUCCUCCCAAUUAAAUGGUAUUAGAGCAUGGGGUUGUCCGAAUUAUGGCAUGUUGAUCGAGGUUAAUGAAGAUGGAGAAGACUGGCUCAAUUAAGGUAGAGAUCAACCGGUAUGAUGGAAAGAAUAAUUUUUUCCUAUGGUG